UUUGUGUUUUUUUUUGCAGCAUGAUUUUAGUUUUAUCAAUAUGAAAGCAAUUGUGAACUUAAAAGGCUCGGACGGUAAUAUAUGGGAAGUAUUUGAAGUUUUAGAUGAUGUCAGACGUGCCAUUUUUAGAGAUACUGUAUUUGGUUAUUUUAUGGAUGUCCCUCGUUUACAAGGGGACGCAUUGUUGUUCCAUAAAAUGUUCCUUCAUCAGAUCCGGCCGGACCCUGUUUUAUCUCCAGAUGGAAUAAAACGAUUAUAUUUUAGAGUAGGCAAUACGAAAAUGGUUUAUGGGCCGGAAGAGUUUUGUUUGAUAACCGGCUUCAAUUUUGGGGAGUAUCCAAAAAACAUUGGGAAAAAGCGUCGGAAAAAUUAUUAACUAGUAAAAAAAGAUGUUUAUUGCGUGAGCGGCUAUUUCCGGAUCCUACCAAUAGUUCGGUGAAAAUCGGCGACCUGAAACGUUUAAUUUUAAGUCGAACAUUCUUAGAAGUUGACGACGUUGAUGCAGUUAGAGUAUGUUUGAUAUACAUUUUGUGUGAAGGUUUUUUGGGAAAAGAAAUUAAUGAUCGGGUGCCACAAGAUUGGUUUUUUUUUUUGCUGAGAAUUUGGAUCUCUGGAUCAUGUAUAUUUUGUUUACGUUAAAAGUUUUAUUUUAUUAAAGUUAUAAUUUAUAUAAAAACCAAUUUUGUUUUUUUGUUUUGUUAGUUUCGCUUGGGGUAGCUAUCUUUGGGAUUUUACUUAUGUCGACCUUGAGGAUACAUGGAGCAAAAUAAAUAAUUAUUUAUCACUUCCUGAGCGUCGUCAAACUUUAAAGUACUCCGUCUCAGGAUUUACAGCUCCAAUAAGGGUAUAAAAAUUUUCUUAUAUUUAAAUUGUUUUAUUGUUAUGUUUUUUAUUUUAAUUUUAACUUUUAUAACUGUAAUUAUAAAAAAUUAUAGAUAUGGAUAUAUAAGAUGAUUCCGGUUGUUCGUGCAUGUGGAUGUGUAUUGAGAAAAAAUAAAGACAUGCCUCGGAUGAAACGAUGGAGUGGAACAAAAAAAUUGAAAUGGGUUGACGUGAACAAGAUUUUUUCAAAGAUACAGGUUUAUAAAUUUUUCGUUUAUUAUUAAUAAACUUGAUUAUUAUACUUUUAUAUGCAUUUUUAAUAUGUUUGAUUUUUUAGGAGGAGCUAACACCAAGACAAAACAUGUCACCGAGUGAUGGUGAGAUGACAUCUUGUUAUUAUAUGUCAUUUCAAGAGUAUGUAUAUGAUGAAGGGAAACCAGUUCCAUCCCCAGUACGGGACCAUUUUAGGAGACAAGACGAAUCUUCGUCUUGUAUGUCGUCCAGUGGUCGCUCUCAUUGUAGAGGUAGGGGCAGUGGGAAACACAACCUAGACGAGGUGUUGAAACGGCUACAUGCACUGGAGCAGCAUGUGUUUAUGAACUGACAACCUACGGAGGUUUUUGUUGAAGAAGUGAAUACUAAACAAUUUUGGAAUGACAUUACUUUUGAUGAUCCUAUAGUGUCACAAAGAAAAUAUGAUGAACAUGUUGUACAAGAUGAAGUGAUGAAUAAAAACAAUACAACUGAAAAUAUUUUUGGUGAUAUUGAAGACGACAAGGUGUUGGAGGAGAGGAAUGACUAUGCGGGGAACAAAUUUGAUGAUGAUAUGUUUGAUGUAAAUGAUUAUAGUGAAGUUAAAGAGGUUCUUAUACUUACAUUAAUUUAUAUUUUGUUUUUAGUAGAUUGAAACAUCUGUAACAAUCUGUAACAACUUCCAAGAAUCUGUAACAACUUCCAAGAA